rnacentral:lncRNA from 1 species
CAGCUUGGGAAACACUCCUAAGCAAAUGAGAUCUUGUGAAGUAUUGUGGUGUCAACAGAAUCAUUAUUGCAUCAAAAUCUGAGAACACUCAGAUAAAAGUUGCCCUACCUAUGGGCUCCUGGGGACAUUUUCAUGCCUUCAUGGCAGCAAGUAGACUUCAGAAUCUACCUCUGGCCCUGUCCCUUCGUGGCCACAAAGGAACCAGAAGGAAUUCUAGGAAACAUUAUAGACUGCUGAAAGAAAAGGACUAUAAUGCAGGAAUCAUAUGCAGCCAAGAUAUCGUUCCCUGUUUCAGUGAAAGAAAGAUCUUUACAAAUAUGCAAGGACUCAGAGACUACAGCACAUAGAUAUGGAGCCUAGGGAUAUAACUGGAAAAUAACUUGACUGAAAGGUCAAUUUACCAAGACAUCUACUUAUGAACAGGAUGUAGUAACAGGAACCAGAUCUGUCUUUCUGCCUGAAACAGCUAAAAAUCUGGACAAAAUAUAUACAACAAUGGUUUGCAGACUUUGACUAUCAAGCAUCACGAGAUUGUGCUUCCUGAGAGAGAGGAAUCAUCUGACUGACCCAGCUUACUGCCUGGAGAGAGUUUCCAAGGCGUAACAUGGGGAGGAGAAUCCUGCUCAGCCCAGCUGUCUCCACACUUUGAGCAGAUGGUGAUGGAGCUCUGAGACCCAGGCAGUUAGAGUUGCACAGCAGAGUACCAGAGGAGAGAGCUGCAGAGAGACAGCACCAAAGAUCCUCAGAGGCUCGCUCUUGAGACUUUGGCACACUAUUGAUGAGAGUAUGCCUAUGAGGAAACUAUACAAGGCCAGAGAAAGGACCCCCGGAAAGGAAUACAGGGAAUGCAAUUAUAUUGACGCAGGUCACGCCCACUGGGUGACCUACUGUCUAUGGCGGCUUUCGCUAUAGUGCAAGUUGAGUGGUCAAGACAGAAACAGUGUGGUCCACAAAGCCUGGAAUACUUACACUUCAUAGAAAAAGUUUGCUGACUCCUGGUGUAGGGGAUUAAAAAGAAUACUUUCGAGUUGAAAUACUUGGGCUCAAAUUCCUACUGCAUCACUGUGUGACCUUGAGUACAAUUGAAAGUAACUUGCCAGUUUAAUCAAUCCUGUCUCCAUGAUUUGGAAAAACAUGAGGCACUACAUCUCUUUGACCAUGACCGGAACGGGGCUUGAGCCCCCAGGAAGAGAGGUGGAGGUCAAGAAGAGGUCAGCCUGGGUGGAGGAGCAGCUCUGUCACCCCUGGUGUCCUUGGUCAUGUUGCUCAGCCUCUCCCUAGGGUCUUCUUAUCUGCAGCAGAGUCAAUAAUCCCUGCCCCACCUAUCUAUAGGGCUGAAAUGAGGCUGAAGAGAAACAAUAGGUGAGAAAACAGGCUUGAAUAGUAUCCCUAACCACAUACAGGUGAGCCAGCCUGCACCGUUCCCUUCUCUAGCUGGCACCCAAGCUCAACCUGGUGACUAAGAAAGCAAAUGUGCCCAUCCCCACGCUGCGAUGAGGCACUCACUCUCAGGGUUAUGCAAUCAAUUAAAUGGUACUCCCCAGACACCCCUCUUCCUCACCUCCAGUGCUGUGCCCCUCCUGGGGGCUCUGUAGGGAGGUGCAUCCAUCCCUCAGGCCAUGCGUCCCAGCACCUGCUCCCUCUUGAUUUUCACCGCAGUCAUCUUCUCCCGGCCUCGUACAUCCCCUCCGAUUACCUCG